rnacentral:sRNA from 1 species
UCAUCAAAAACUCCAGCCGUUUACUGC